CGAAGCGCCAUAGCCACGGUAGUCCUGGCGACAAGAGCCCAGCAACAAGAAUCAACAACAACAGCCCGAUUCACUGAAACGCUAAAAAAAAUCAAACAUAGCGGUGGAAAAAUCAAUCGGAUUAAAAAGCGUUUCAGCCAGGCGAUCUCGAUGGCGACUCCAGCCUAUGUCGGGGAGCUGCAGCAGACCUCUCAGCCUCCAGCAGGAGCUGUAACCGUAACACCAGGCCAGCCUGUUGUUGUCACGACAGCGGCGCCUCAGCAGUACCUGUCGGAGCUACAAAACACCGUGACAUCCGUCUCGGCCUCAGCAACCCCCGGCCAGGUCACUCCCCCUCCGGCACAAACCCCGCCCACGCAACCCCCACCCACACAGACGCAGUAUGUGCCAACUGAGAUGCAGAACUCCCCCACACAAUCCAACAAUGCCCAGAACACGCCGCAGUACAUCGUGGUGACGGUUACAGAGGGAUCUAUCCAUUCUAGUGACUCAGUUUCAGAUUCCAGCCCUCCACCAGCAGUUGUACAGACCGGAGUUCCCACUCAGGUGGUACAGCAGGUGCAGUCAGCCCAACAGAAGUCUGUGGUCCAAGCCACAUCUCAGCCUACCAAGACUGAACAGGGCACACAAAUGAGCGUCACCAACCUACAGCCUGUACACUUGACUCAGGAGCAACUGCAGCAAGUUCCCGUGCAGCAUGUGUACACCAACCAAGUCCAGUAUGUGGAGGGUGGAGACACAAGCUACGCUACCAGUACAAUCCGUUCCGGCAGUUUUGUGUACACUGACAGUCCCUUGUACACGCAGACCAGCGGUGCUCAGUACUAUGAAAGCACCAGUGUCAGUGUCUCCGCCUCCCAGGCUGCCUCUCCUGUGAAUACGGGCUUUGUGACAGGGACGGGGCAAAUUGUGACCAGUGGCACGCCUGUCACAGGAGGUGGAGCCACGGCUGUAAUCGCAGUAUCAGGAACGGCCGCUAACGGUUCCGGAGAUGGAGGAGGAGGGGCUAACGGGAGCAGUGGCAGCUACGUGAUUCAAGGAGGCUACAUGCUGAGCAGCGGAGGAGGCUCCAGCAGCAGCAGCAGUGGAAACGGCCAGAGUUACUCACAAAAUGCUCGCGUCUCCCCGGCCACUCUGUCCUCUGGCCCUCAGGUGCAGUGGUUGUUGGAUAAUUAUGAAACGGCGGAGGGUGUGAGCCUGCCGCGCUCCACUCUCUACUGCCACUACCUGCUGCACUGCCAGGAGCAGAAGCUGGAGCCCGUCAACGCUGCAUCCUUCGGGAAACUCAUCCGCUCCGUCUUUAUGGGCCUGAGGACGAGGCGCCUGGGUACUCGAGGGAACUCGAAAUAUCACUACUAUGGGCUGAGGAUUAAAGCCAGCUCCUCUCUGCUCCGGCUGAUGGAAGACCAACAACACCUGGCAAUGAGGCAGCAGCCCUUCUCUCAAAAACAGAGGUUGAAGCCAGUACAAAAGAUGGAAGGAAUGACUAAUGGGAUGUCGUCAGGGGCAGGACAACAGCAGCAGCAACAGACUUCAGGGCUUUCUGACAUCAGUGCCCAGGUGCAGCAGUACCAACAGUUCCUGGAUGCAUCCCGUGCUCUCCCCGAGUUCCCUGAAAUUGACUUGCAGGGCAAACCUUUGCCGGAGGGAAUUGAGCUAGAACACAUUAAGAGCUUUCAGCUACUCUACAGAGAGCACUGCGAGGCCAUCCUGGACGUCAUGGUGAACCUGCAGUUCACAUUAGUGGAGACGCUCUGGAAAACAUUCUGGAGGUUUAGCGAGAGCCAGGCGGGAGACCCGGAUACAUUGUCUGUUCAUGAUGAGUCAGAGAAGCGGCUGCCCAAGUCAUGCCUGGUGCUGCUGUGCAAGUAUGAGCCGGCGCUGCGUUGGAGCCGUGACUGUGACAACACGCUGUACCAGGGCCUGGUGGAGAUCCUCAUCCCAGAUGUACUGAGACCUAUACCCAGUGCCUUAACUCAAGCCAUUCGAAAUUUUGCCAAGAGUCUGGAAAGCUGGCUGACUAACGCCAUGAUGAACAUUCCCGAGGAGAUGGUCCGAAUCAAAGUGACGUGUGCGAAUGCGUUUGCACAGACGCUGCGCAGAUACACCUCUCUGAACCACCUGGCCCAGGCUGCCCGUGCCGUCCUGCAGAACACCGCGCAGAUCAACCAGAUGCUCAGUGACCUCAACCGAGUUGAUUUUGCAAACGUACAGGAGCAGGCCUCUUGGGUGUGCAGGUGUGAGGACCGUGUGGUGCAGCGGUUAGAGCAGGACUUUAAGCUCACCUUGCAGCAACAGAACUCACUAGAGCAGUGGGCUGCCUGGCUGGAUGGCGUAGUCUCCCAGGUCCUAAAGCCCUACCAGGCCAGCUCUGCCUUUCCUAAAGCUGCGAAACUCUUUUUGCUUAGAUGGAGCUUCUACAGCUCUAUGGUAAUCAGAGACCUGACACUGCGCAGCGCAGCCAGUUUUGGCUCCUUUCAUCUCAUCCGCCUGCUGUACGAUGAGUACAUGUAUUACCUAAUAGAGCACAGAGUGGCUCAGGCCAAAGGGGAGACCCCUAUCGCUGUCAUGGGAGAGUUUGCCAGCCUUGGUCGCAGUCUUAACCCACUGGAUCCUGAUAAAGAAGAGGAGGAUGAGGAGGAAGAGGAGAGCGAUGAUGAGUGUCAGGAAUUAGCUCUGCCCGCUGAUGGAGCCGCUCUCGGUCGUGUUGCUUAGCUGCACACGUGCUUCCUGUAAAAACCAAACCUCAUCUCUGAUGGCACCUGACUGAAAAACAAGUUUGUGUCUAUAGACGAUUUCGAGAAAAGUUUUGUGCACCCCUUGCUUUUGUGGUUUCCUUUUACAUCUUUUAAGGAAGUUGGUAAUAAGAAGACUGCGUCGGUUCCACGUAAGGAUGGCUGAAAAACACAGACCGGAAACCAAGUAUUCAUGCAAGUAGAGACGUCAUGGAGAGGGAAAAGUGCGACUGACUACCCCUGAGCAAAUGGCGAGAGAGCAGUCGCAAUUCUGGAAUUCUGGAUUAAGAAUGUUUAAGGCUACACUCCUACUGAUCAUCUCCAUUUGUGUGGAUUUUUUUUUCCCAUUAAUGGAUGAAUUCAGGGUGAUGCUCACAAUGCACCGAAAGAGGGCAGUAUAGCACUGAUGUUAAAAUGAAGUCUGAUCAUCCAAAGUAUGGUUCAAAGUGCUGAUCUCUAAAGCAGACACAGAGAGAAAGACAAGAAGAUAGACACUGGCGGAGGUGAAACUACAUGGGGAGUCUGCUGUCAAUCAAAUCAGCAUGCAUCUAUAGAGCAGUACUGAGUUACAUCAAAUGAACAGCUUCCUAAGCCUGGCUUACUGCUGAGGAUUUCUACUGUACAACUUUUUAUUUUUUAAAUUAUUAUUAUUAUUAUUUUGCUCAAAUUAAAGCACUGUCAAUUUUUUUGCCGUCUUGAUUAAAAAAAAUAAUCCAAUAAAAUCAGCUCAAAUUUCGAUCAGAUCUAUUCUCUAAAGUCUAAAUGAGGCACUCUGCAUAUGUUUAUGCUUCUGAUGAAAUAGGAUAUUAAAUUAUUCAAAUGUACAAGCGCCACCUAGUGGCUCCCUGUAGUCUGAUGUCAGAAGAAAUGUCUUUCAGCACAAACACUUUGUCUGACACACAGAUACAGAUCUUAGCUCAUAGGUGUUUCUCUGAGCUCCGACAGGUGAAUCUGACAGAUAAGAAAUCCCUGAAACUCUGGAUUUGAGAAAGUACACACUGGAUCUUCAGUGUGUGUUAACCCAUGCCUUUUUAGAUAGCUUGUUGGUCUUUCAGAAGCAGGUGUGGUAAGAUAAUUUUACUAAACUACAUUUAACUAAAACAAUUUGAGGGGUUCACAGAAACAGGGAUGGCAGCAUGGUGGUGUAGGUUUAAGCACUGUUGGACUUCCAGGAUCCGGGUUCGAUUCCCAUCUCAGGUCUGUGUGAAUCAAGCUUUUAUGUUCUCCCCGUGCUUGGUGGGUUUCCUCCUACAGUGAAAAUUAGGCUGUAUACAGGUUGUACCUUGCCUUGUGCCCUUUUGAGACCCUUUGCGACCCUGUAUACAGGAUAAAGCAGUACGAAACAGGGGUAAAUACAUACACAAUCACUUAUGCAUCAAUUUACCUAUAGAAACCUUUUGCACUCAUUUUUAACUUGAACAUUAAGCCCAAUUAAAUUAAAUAAUUUCCAUGGGAAUGUUCAAGAAGGAUAAAUAAUUUUGAGUUAUUUGCAGGACUUUUAAGUAUCUGUGACUUCUCUCUCUCUCUCUCUCUCUCUCUCUCUCUCUAUUUUAUGUUAUUCAUUUAAUUCUGAUCUGAGGCUUAUUUAAACACCAAAAAUAGAGCAUGAUAGAAACAAAUAUUAAAAAGGUCAAUUUUCUAUCCACAUAUAUUCACAAGGAUGACACAUUAAAAGAAACCUCUGAAUUGGAUCUGGUGUUGGUCAACCUGACACAACUACUCCCAAGCUGUAAAUUUCUCUUCCUCACUAGCCUGAUAGGAAGUGCUGUGUGUCCAAACAUCAACCAUCAAUUGAUAUAAAAUAGUUCCUACCCUGCAGCAACAUGCAUCAUACACAGAAAAAAAGACCGGUCUGACAGUCUGACAGUUUGACACUUCUAAGUUUGCUCAACAAUUCUGUAACUAUUCUUGCAGAUUUUGUGUCUUAUUUUUUCUGUUUUGCCGUCAUCUUUCUAACAGGAGUAUAGUUUUAUUAACAUUCAUUCAUUCAUCUUCUAUACCGCUUGGCCUGUACACUGCUUGCAGGGGGCCUGGAGCCUAAACCAGGAGACUUUAGGCACAAAAGAGGAUACACCCAGGAUAAGGUGUCAAUCUAUUAAACCUCUGAACUCCAAAAAAACUAAUCUGCAUGUCUUUGCAGUCUUUGCAUUACUGUGGGAGGAAACCAGAGUACCCAGAGUUAACCCACCAAGCACAAGGAGAACAUGCAAACUUCUCACACACAGACCAAGGACUUGAACCUUUAAGCCAUCUUUGCACCAUCAUUAAUGUUAUCAUGUGACUGUCAGAAAAGAUAUAUUAUUUUUCAUGUUGAAGUGUGUAUACAUUUUUGGGCCCCUAGGUUUAUUACAAAUAAUCAAAAGGGACCAUAUUCGAUAUGUUAAUUCUCUUUUACUGUGACAUGUCUUGGUAACAAGAAGACACUAAUUCAAAUAAAUAAAAAUGCAGUUUUUCUUCUCAUAAAUUUAUUUUGGGUUUUCUGAAAUUAAAAUAUACAUACAGGGUUAAAAAUAUAAUUUUCUGAGCCAGUGGCCUCUCAACUUGUUAUUGAUUAUAUUGACACGUGUUAGUGAUAAUUAAUUACAGCUGGUAGCUUCUCUGUGCCAACAUGAAAAAAUUGUAUGCAAGUACAAGUUUUUAGGGAGGUUUAUCCACUUAGCCAAGGUCUAGAAGAAGACACAAACUAUUACCCUCAGCUGAGAGGAAACUUGUUCGAAUGGUCAGGAACAACAGAGGAACCAGCAAGGCAACGGUCCGCCAUGAACUGAAAGCUGCUGGAACACCAGUGUCACUAUCAACAGUCAACACAUUUUACAUCACCAUUUUGCACUGAAAGGCUGAGAUCUGAGGGAAAACAAACAGUGCUUCAAAAUCAACAACUUCAAUCACAAAGAUAUGUUUGGGGGCAUUUGAUCUCAAGAACACUGUAUCAACUGAUGAUGGUACUUUCAGGUUGUUUUGCUGCAGAACUGAUACAAUGCA